ACGGAGGAUCCAAGCGUUAUCCGGAAUCAUUGGGUUUAAAGGGUCCGUAGGCGGGUUUGUAAGUCAGUGGUGAAAGUCUGCAGCUCAACUGUAGAACUGCCAUUGAUACUGCAUACCUUGAGUAAUUAUGAAGUGGUUAGAAUAUGUAGUGUAGCGGUGAAAUGCAUAGAUAUUACAUAGAAUACCGAUUGCGAAGGCAGAUCACUAAUAAUUUACUGACGCUGAUGGACGAAAGCGUAGGUAGCGAACAGG
rnacentral:rRNA from 1 species